CAGCCGCCGCGGGAAUACGUAGGGUGCAAGCGUUAAUCGGAAUUACUGGGCGUAAAGCGUGCGCAGGCGGUUUUGUAAGACAGGCGUGAAAUCCCCGGGCUCAACCUGGGAAUGGCGCUUGUGACUGCAAAGCUAGAGUGCGGCAGAGGGGGAUGGAAUUCCGCGUGUAGCAGUGAAAUGCGUAGAUAUGCGGAGGAACACCGAUGGCGAAGGCAAUCCCCUGGGCCUGCACUGACGCUCAUGCACGGAAGCGUGGGGAGCAAACAGGAUUAGAUACCCGGGUAGUCCCUGUCUCUUAUAC
rnacentral:rRNA from 1 species